UGCCAGCCGCCGCGGUAAUACGGAGGGGGUUAGCGUUGUUCGGAAUUACUGGGCGUAAAGCGUGCGUAGGCGGAUCGACAAGUUGGGGGUGAAAUCCCGGGGCUCAACCCCGGAACUGCCUCUAAUACUGCUAGUCUUGAGUUCGAGAGAGGUGAGUGGAAUUCCGAGUGUAGAGGUGAAAUUCGUAGAUAUUCGGAGGAACACCAGUGGCGAAGGCGGCUCACUGGCUCGAUACUGACGCUGAGACGCGAAAGCGUGGGGAGCAAACAGGAUUAGAUA
rnacentral:rRNA from 1 species